UCAGAUUGAACGCUGGCGGCAGGCCUAACACAUGCAAGUCGAGCGGUAGAGAGAAGCUUGCUUCUCUUGAGAGCGGCGGACGGGUGAGUAAUGCCUAGGAAUCUGCCUGGUAGUGGGGGAUAACGUCCGGAAACGGACGCUAAUACCGCAUACGUCCUACGGGAGAAAGCAGGGGACCUUCGGGCCUUGCGCUAUCAGAUGAGCCUAGGUCGGAUUAGCUAGUUGGUGGGGUAAUGGCUCACCAAGGCGACGAUCCGUAACUGGUCUGAGAGGAUGAUCAGUCACACUGGAACUGAGACACGGUCCAGACUCCUACGGGAGGCAGCAGUGGGGAAUAUUGGACAAUGGGCGAAAGCCUGAUCCAGCCAUGCCGCGUGUGUGAAGAAGGUCUUCGGAUUGUAAAGCACUUUAAGUUGGGAGGAAGGGCAGUUACCUAAUACGUGAUUGUUUUGACGUUACCGACAGAAUAAGCACCGGCUAACUCUGUGCCAGCAGCCGCGGUAAUACAGAGGGUGCAAGCGUUAAUCGGAAUUACUGGGCGUAAAGCGCGCGUAGGUGGUUCGUUAAGUUGGAUGUGAAAUCCCCGGGCUCAACCUGGGAACUGCAUUCAAAACUGACGAGCUAGAGUAUGGUAGAGGGUGGUGGAAUUUCCUGUGUAGCGGUGAAAUGCGUAGAUAUAGGAAGGAACACCAGUGGCGAAGGCGACCACCUGGACUGAUACUGACACUGAGGUGCGAAAGCGUGGGGAGCAAAC
rnacentral:rRNA from 1 species